rnacentral:rRNA from 1 species
GACAGAGGUGCCAAGCGUUAGGCGGAAUCACUGGGCUUAAAGCGUGUGUAGGCGGGCGAUCAAGUACCUUGUGCAAUCCCACGGCUCAACCGUGGAACUGCUGGGUAUACUGGUUGUCUUGAGCCAGCUAGGGGCGAGCGGAACAGACGGUGGAGCGGUGAAAUGCGUAGAUAUCGUCUGGAACGCCGAAGGUGAAAACAGCUCGCUGGGGCUGCGCUGACGCUGAGACACGAAAGCCAGGGGAGCGAACGGG